CUUUUUGAGUCCCCCCCCUCCUCUCUCUCUCUCUGUGUCCCUUUCUGUCCCCCUCUCGCGCUCUCCCUUCACUCCUCAUCCCUCCGUCUGCUGUUAUUCAUUCGUGCGUGUGUGGGCAAGGAGGGCAAACAUGGAUUCUGUCGUGGUUCUUUUUAUCCUUCUUUUGCGUCCCGGCCUCCGGUGGACGGCUGCUGCCGAGGACAUGAGCUGGACCUACACCGGUCUCGUGGGUCAGUCUCAGUGGUCGGAACAUUUCCCAGAGUGUGGCGGCAGCUCCCAGUCUCCAGUGGAUGUGGUGACCACUCAAACAAAAUAUGACCCCGGCUUGCCCCCCCUCACCCCCCUGGGCUACAGUCAGCACGGCAACAGACCCUUCACCCUGUACAACAACGGACACACAGCUGUGAUCGAGCUGCCGGACUGGAUGAGCCUGGAUGGGCUGCCCUGGCUCUUUUCUGCGGUACAAAUGCACCUUCACUGGGGCAGCGGCGGCCCGAGUUACGGUGGCAGUGAACACACCAUCAACGGCCAGAGCGCCGAGGCAGAGCUGCAUGUGGUGCACUACAACUCCGAACUCUACCCCAACAUGUCCGCAGCCAUGACGCAGAGGGACGGCCUCGCUGUCCUGGGAAUCCUCAUUGUGACAGGUGAGGAGACCAACCCGGCGUUUAACAACAUCAUCAACUACCUGAGCCGCGUCAGACAUGCCAACCAGAAAGUCUUCAUACCGGCCUUCGACGUGCAGUCGCUGCUCCCCAAGGAUCUGGACCGGUACUAUCGCUAUAACGGCUCCCUGACGACGCCACCCUGCUUCCAGAGCGUGAUCUGGACACUCUUCCACGAGAGGGUUCAGAUUUCCAAAGCUCAGCUGCUGAAGAUGGAGACCAUCCUUUACUCCAGCAAAGCUGACGAAGCAGACAGGAUGCUGCUGCAGGACAACUACCGCGCCACCCAGCCGCUCAACCACAGGGCCGUCUUCACCUCCUUCGCUGCAGACUCAGGGAAGGAGCUCUCGUCUGCGGUCAUACAUGCUGAAUGGAGGCAGAGGCUGCGGGGCUGUAGGGCGCCUGGAAUGCUGUAAAUGAAUCUUCAGACGAGGAGGAAUAUGUUUUAAAAAGGAUACAAAAACACGACAGCCCAACGGUGCCAGGACACGCCACGAUCCUUGUGUCCAAUCUCGUAAGUUGAUCAUUAAAAUUCACUAUGAGAGUGUUUAAACAAGAGAGAAAUGCGAUAAAAUGUCAAUGCCUGUUUGAGAAAAGUCUGGUGAGGAGAUUUCACAGCCUUAAAACAUAUAAUAAUUGGACAAAAAUAAAAUUGGCUACUUUGCGGAUUUCACAUAUUGCCGGCUAUUUUGGGAACCUAUCCCCUGUGAUAAAUGAGGGACCACUGUACUCCACAUCCCCAAACUCCCACUUUCCCCAAAGUUGGAAUUUUUCCAUACAGCGUUUUAGUUUACUUCAACAGAAAUUCCCUUUUAUUGUGACACGUUUCACAAGGCCUUGGCCAUGCUCACUUUCCCACGCUAUUCUUCCAAAAUAACGACAUGCUUGUGAAAGUUGUCCCACCAGAUCGGGUCUUGUCCCAAAUCGCCAUCGUUGGCGGGGGCGUCAUUGCCGUAGCGAGCAAAACAGCAGCACUAGCGUCCUCCGAAGCGUCUUUGUCAAAUUCAAGGGAAAGUGGCCUGUGUUUAUCCUUAUUCACACAAAAAUCAUUUCAGUAUGCAUGAAAGCAGCAAUGUUAUGUUUGCCAUUGCACACAUUAAGGAGGACCAUAAUUGUUACGUCAUCUGUCAGCAACAAGCCAAAAGCUCCGUCUUUGCCAUUCACACGAAUACGCUGAAGCCAGAGUUUUCAAAAAUCUGAGACUGACGCUUUUCCUCUUUUCCUCUUUUCUGACCUAAAAAUGUUGUUACAAUGUUGUAUUCUCGUGUUAAACGACGCCAACGCGUCAGAUAAUGACAUGUGCUCAUUUGGAAGUGAGCCCUGAAAGCAGGACGGCUCUGCACGCUGUGUUUUACAGACGUCAACGCAACCCGGACUUCCUUAUAUGGGCAUGUCCUGCAUGAGCCGGGGCUCUGCUACGCUGUGUUCACGGUGUUAGCACGUUGAGCAAUGGCUCCUGGGAAAUGUUUCUUGGGUGUGCCUAAAGAGGCUAGCAUCAGGCAGAAGUGGUUGGAAUUGCUGAUUCCCGGCAAACGAGAGAAAAAUAUGCUCAUCUGUGAACGACGCUUCACAUGGUUUUGUGAACACGGGUCAAUACGAAGCCGGACUAGCCGCCAAACUGUUGCCGUACUCUGACGCCUUUCCAACGUUACUUGGUCGUGUUGAAGAGUCAGAAGAGCAAGCGUACGUAACAAUUUAUCAGUGUCCUAACUUUAUUUAUUUUGUGUAAGUAAUCGGACAAAAAAGGUUCGCAAGCUGUCCGGAAGUCCUCGGGAGCGCUUGGGAGUGUGACCAAUCACAGCGGAGUGUGCUCGGCGGGAGGUGUACCUGGAGGAGGGCUGGGGGUGGAGUAAAUUACACAGGCCGUUAGGGCGGGAGGCAGGAAACACUGCAGGAAGAGGUGCAGAGUCUGGAAGAUCUAGAAAGCGUUCUGUGCGGGUUAUCAUGUGUAGCUGAUCUACAGGAGUCCACAACUCAAUACAAAGGCCCGAAAAUGAGUGUAAUAGGUCCCCUUUAAGGACAAAAACCUCCAUUUGCGUGUGGAUGACUGACCAAAAUGCAUAGAAAAAUAUGCAUUUAAAAAAAGUACGUAUUUGUGUGGACAUGACGUGAGACUGCUGCCCUGCCGAGACCCAGACUCGGGAAAGCGGAAGAAAAUGGAAUGGAAAACUCCCGGUCUUCUAAAAAUUCCCAUUGAAAUAACUGGCAAUGUUCCCAUUCAAACAAUUUUAGCAUCAAAACCUUCAAGCUGACAGUUUCCCACAUUGUCUGUUCAGCUUCAGCUUUUCCCACAGAACUUUCCUUCUCCAGGUAUUGAUGGGUUUUGUCCCACAGGUGAGGUGACCGCCAUUGUGAUAGGAGUGAUGUGUGGCUGCGUCGGUCUGGCAGUCAUUGUUCGCUUCAUCGUCAAGACCAUACGCUCUACCUCUAGCUGGGACGUCCUUACCAAUAACCGGGCAGCACCAAUGCAAAGGAUGAAGGAGCCCGAG